rnacentral:rRNA from 1 species
AGAGUUUGAUCAUGGCUCAGGACGAACGCUGGCGGCGUGCUUAACACAUGCAAGUCGAACGAAGAUAUGUUGAAAGCUUGCUGAUGCAUAUUUUAGUGGCGGACGGGUGAGUAACGCGUGAGGACUUGUCUAGUACAGGGGGACAACAGUUGGAAACGGCUGCUAAUACCCCAUAAGCCUAAGGGUAAAGGAGCAAUCCGGUACAUGAGAGACUCGCGUCCUAUCAGCUAGUAGGUGGGUAACGGCCCACCUAGGCGAAGACGGGUAGCCGGCCUGAGAGGGCGAACGGCCACACUGGAACUGAGACACGGUCCAGACUCCUACGGGAGGCAGCGGUGGGGAAUAUUGGGCAAUGGAGGGAACUCUGACCCAGCGACGCCGCGUGAGUGAAGAAAUCCCUCGGGAUGUAAAGCUCUGUUGUGUGGGAAGAUAAUGACGGUACCACACGAGGAAGCCCCGGCAAACUACGUG